rnacentral:snoRNA from 1 species
UCCAGCUGUAGGCAACUGCCUAGGUUAUCUUGUACCUGAAAGUGUUACGCUGCUGGGAGAAAAGGCAGCCAUGCUGGCAGCAUUCUGGGCCUGGAUAAU